rnacentral:tRNA from 1 species
GAGGGUAUAGCUCAAAGUGGUAGAGCACAUGCUUAGCAUGCAUGAGGUCCUGGGUUCAAUCCCCUGUACCUCCG